GAAAUGAGCCCACCCCCUUGUCUCUAUGACACUGUGAUCCAGAGUUAUGUUCAAUACAAAAUCCCUAUGUAAUUUACCAUAGUAGGAAAAACACACUGUUUCAUGGGCACGGCUUCACCAUAGUAAGUCAAUGGGGCAACUUUGGGCAGCUCUUGCGCCCCAGGGGUACAACUUACACCCCAUUUUGAGGUAUGGUCUGACAGAGACUGUCAGCCUCUUCAAACGUGGUAACCCACAUGUUUCUACGAAAUUCUUGUUAGGAGCUAUGACUCGUCAAAGUUCGUCGCAAUGUUAAGUCAAUGGGAUUUUUCGGCUACUUUUUCGCCCGCCGGGCGAACAUCGUACACCCGAUCGCUUAUAAAAGUCAUAGCACACCUCUCCUCAAUGAGCCGGUCGAUUUGACACCUCAUUCAUGGGUCUAGGACAAAAACUGCGGGACAAGUUACGCGCCGAAGUUUUGUCCAGAAGAAGAAGAAGAAUAAUAAUAACUAGAAUGUACAUUUCCUGAAGAAAAUGUGAAUGGUGCUUGCAGUGGCAAUACUCGGCACUCUUGAUUAGCAUGAUGCUAACAUAAUUAGCAUGUUGUUAGCAUGUUUUUAGCAAGAUGCUAACAUGAUUAGCAUGUUGCUAGCAUGAUGCUAGCAUUCUUGCCAUGUUGCUAACAUGUUUUUAGCAAGAUGGUAACAUGAUUAACAUGUUGCUAGCAUGUUUUUAACAAGAUGCUAACAUUAUUAGCAUGUUGCUAGCAUGAUGGUAACACGAUUAGCAUGUUGCUAGGAUGAUGCUAACACAAUUAGCAUGUUGCUAGCAUGAUGCUAACACAAUUAGCAUGUUGCUUGCAUGAUGCUAACACAAUUAGCAUGUUGCUAACAUGAUGCUAACACAAUUAGCAUGUUGCUAGCAUGAUGCUAACACGAUUAGCAUGUUGCUAAUGUGAUUUUGGCAAGAUGCUAACAUGAUUAGCAUGUUUGCUAGCAUGAUGCUAACGUGAUUAGCAUGCUACUAGCAUGAUGCUAACUCAAUUAGUAUGCUACUAGCAUGAUGCUAACACAUUUUUACUUGUUUGUGUCAUGUAUAAAACCUAAGCUAAUUGCUAUUAGCACGUAGCUAUUCACUGCUAGCAUGUGUAGCAUGUUGCAAGUCCAGUUUGCUAGCAUGAGUCAAAAAGAACCAACCGCCAUGUCUCUACGAUGUUCUGAUGCAGAGAUAUAGGUCUUUCAAAACGGUUGCUAGGGUACUCUGUUUGGUUGCUAGGGAGUGGCUUGGCAGCUGCCAAUGAUGAUACUCCAAAGGCUGCUUGCCAAUAUAAACCAACCCCCAUGUCUCUACGAUGUUCUGAUACAGAGAAAUAGGCCUUGCAAAAUGGUUGCUAGGGUACUCUAUUUGGUUGCUAGGGAGUGGCUUAGCAGCUGCCAGUGAUGAUACUCCAAAGCUGCUUGCUAGUAUGAAUGAUAUAAACCAACCACCAUGCCUCUAUGAUAUUCAGAUUUGAAGAUAUCCCUCUAUGCUUUGGGUUGCUAGGGUGCUCUAAAUGGUUGCUAGGGCGUGGCUAUGAAGUCUUGAAGGUGACUCGUGACUGGCCGUAUGCUGCACCGAGUUAAAUGAGCCCACCCUCAUGUUUCUAUGACACUUCCAUCCAAAGAUAUUCCUUUGAUCUUUUUCAAUGGAAGUCUAUGGAACUUGUUGCUAUGGUGCUCUAUAUGGUUGCUAGGGCGUGGCUUGAUAGCUUCACAAUGAUCCUGAGAGACUGAUUGGUUGCCUGAGUAAAAUGAGCCCACCCCCUUGUCUCUAUGACACUGUGAUCCAGAGUGAUGUUCAAUACAAAAUCCCUAUGUAAUUUACCAUAGUAGGAAAAACACACUGUUUCAUGGGCACGGCUUCACCAUAGUAAGUCUAUGGGGCCACUUUGGGCAGCUCUUGCGCCCCAGGGGUACAACUUACACCCCAUUUUGAGGUAUGGUCUGACAGAGACUGUCAGCCUCUUCAAACGUGGUAACCCACAUGUUUCUACGAAAUUCUUGUUAGGAGCUAUGACUCGUCAAAGUUCGUCGCAAUGUUAAGUCAAUGGGAUUUUUCGGCUACUUUUUCGCCCGCCGGGCGAACAUCGUACACCCGAUCGCUUAUAAAAGUCAUAGCACACCUCUCCUCAAUGAGCCGGUCGAUUUGACACCUCAUUCAUGGGUCUAGGACAAAAACUGCGGGACAAGUUACGCGCCGAAGUUUUGUCCAGAAGAAGAAGAAUAAUAAUAAUAACUAGAAUGUACAUUUCCUGAAGAAAAUGUGAAUGGUGCUUGCAGUGGCAAAACUCGGCACUCGGUUGCUAGGGUGUUUCUAGGCAAUUGCUAAGGGGUUCUGGGUGGUUGCUAGGUGGUUGCUAUGGUAACCUGGGUGGUUGCUAGGCGGUUGCUAGGCAGUUGGUAAGGUACUUGGGGCGGUUGCUAAGGUGUUGCUAGGCGGUUGCUAGGGUGUUCUGGGUGGUUGCUAGGCGGUUGCUAUGGUAACCUGGGUGGUUGCUAGGCGGUUGCUAGGCAGUUGGUAAGGUACUUGGGGCAGUUGCUACGGUGUUGCUAGGUGGUUGCUAGGGUGUUAUGGGUGGUUGCUAGGCAGUUGCUAUGGUAACCUGGGUGGUUGCUAUGAUGUUACUAGGUGGUUGGUAGUUGUCACAGAUGGUUACUAUGGUGUUUUUAUAGAGUUCUUAGCAUGUUCUUAGCCCACUUUAGCACUUAGCUAAUCACCAUUAGCAUGUAGCUAUUCACUGCUAGAAUGUGUAGCAGGUUGGAAGUCCAGUUUGCUAGCAUGAGUCGAAAGAGCCAACCGCCAUGUCUCUACGAUGCUCUGAUGCAGAGAUAUAGGUCUUGCUAAACGGUUGCUAGGGUACUCUGUUUGGUUGCUAGGGAGUGGCUUAGCAGCUGCCAAUGAUGAUACACCAAAGGCUGCUUGCCAAUAUAAGCCAACCGCCAUGUCUCUACGAUGUUCUGAUGCAGAGAUAUAGGUCUUGAAAAACGGUUGCUAGGGUACUCUGUUUGGUUGCUAGGGAGUGGCUUGGCAGCUGCCAAUGAUGAUACUCCAAAGGCUGCUUGCCAGUAUGAAUGAUAUAAAUCAACCCCCAUGCCUCUAUGAUAUUGAGAUUUAAAGAUAUCGCUCUAUGCUGUGGGUUGCUAGGGUGCUCCAAAUGGUUGCUAGGGCGUGGCUAUGAAGUCUUUAAGGUGAUUCGUGAUUGGCCGUUUGCUCUCCCGAGUCAAAUGAGCCCACCCUCAUGUUCCUAUGACACUUCUAUCCAAAGGACUAUCUUUGACCUUUUUGAAUGGAAGUCUAUGGAACCUGUUGCUAGGGUGCUCUAUAUGGUUGCUAGGGCGUGGCUUCAUAGCGUCACAUUGAUCCUGAGAGACUGAUUGGUUGCCUGAGUGAAAUGAGCCCGCCCCCUUGUCUCUAUGACACUGUGAUCAAUAGUGAGAGAUGUGAGUGAGUGAGAGAAAGGGUUCUAAGGCCCUGCGUGUGUGUGCGUGUGUGAGAAAGUGACAGUUGAGAUUCAAAUUUCUGAACAUUCCGCCAUUGAAAGUCAAUGGGACUUUUUUGGCCGCUUUUUCGCCCCCUGUGCGAACAUCGUUGGGCCGAUCGCUUAUAAAAGUCAUAGCACACCUCUCCUCAAUGAGCCGGUCGAUUUGACACCUCAUUCAUGGGUCUAGGACAAAAACUGCGGGACAAGUUACGCGCCGAAGUUUUUGUCCAGAAGAAGAAUAAUAA